CAGUCGCCGGGUAAUACGAAGGGUGCAAGCGUUAAUCGGAAUUACUGGGCGUAAAGCGUGCGUAGGCGGUGAGUUAAGUCUGCUGUGAAAUCCCCGGGCUCAACCUGGGAAUGGCAGUGGAUACUGGCUCGCUAGAGUGUGUCAGAGGAUGGUGGAAUUCCCGGUGUAGCGGUGAAAUGCGUAGAGAUCUGGAGGAAUACCGGUGGCGAAGGCGGCCCCCUGGACAAAGACUGACGCUCAGGUGCGAAAGCGUGGGGAGCAAACAGGAUUAGAUACCCCGGUAGUCCCUGUCUCUUAUACC
rnacentral:rRNA from 1 species